UCUUAAUCUUGUUCUUUCUCUAUCUCUCUCUCUCUCUUUCUCAAGAAACUAUAGUGUACUUUCAUAGACUGUGAAGUAAAGACCUUGAAGGAAGUAUUGAAUAGUGUCGCCGCAUCAUAUAUACGAUGCGAAGCUUCCCUCUCACGCCUCGGCUCAUUACCAAAACAUGCCUUGCGCUCUAUGCUCUCUUCAGAUCAGAGUCUAAAUCCCAUCUUAAUCACUUGAAGGCAGCCUAGUCGAUCUGUUUUCGUCGGCAACCGUAAGCAAGGCUAAGACAAGUAUCGACGAUGGUUAAUGUUUAUGUCUCUGCAUCAAACCUUAACAAAAGAGGAGGAGGCGAGUCGGAUUGGUAUGGAAUCCUCAACGUGGAUCCUUUAGCUGAUUACGUAACAGUCAAGAAACAAUACAAGAAGCCGGCGCUUCUUCUCCAUCCGGACAAGAACAAGUUUAACGGCGCCAAAGAAGCGUUUAAUCUUGUUUUCGAUGCUUGGAGUCUUUUAUCUGAUCACUCUAAGAGAGCCGCCUAUGAUGAACAGAGAAAAUACAAAGAACAACAACAAAAGUGAGAAGCUUCUUGUUCCUCUUCAGACACCACAAAGGAAGCAGAGUGGCUUUUCAAGAAUCGGAUGAAGAGAGCAAACGAAAACUCUACAGACGAAGAAGAGAGGCUCUUCAAGAGACCGGCGCUGAUGAAAACCGGAAACUCAAACUGUACUUCCGAGGCGGAGAGGCUAUUGAAGAAGCCUAUGGAAGCAGCAAAUCCAAACUCUACUUUGGUCUUGUCUUUUUUUUAAAAACCUAAUGUAUGAUUUGUAUUAUUAGAUUGAAGGAAUGUAAACUAAUCAAAUCGAUCAAAGUUCAAAACUUUCUAUCA